CAGCAGCCGCGGGAAUACGAAGGGUGCAAGCGUUACUCGGAAUUACUGGGCGUAAAGCGUGCGUAGGUGGUGGUUUAAGUCCGUUGUGAAAGCCCUGGGCUCAACCUGGGAAUUGCAGUGGAUACUGGAUCACUAGAGUGUGGUAGAGGAUAGUGGAAUUCCCGGUGUAGCGGUGAAAUGCGUAGAGAUCGGGAGGAACAUCAGUGGCGAAGGCGGCCAUCUGGGACAACACUGACGCUGAGGCACGAAAGCGUGGGGAGCAAACAGGAUUAGAUACCCCAGUAGUCCCUGUCUCUUAUAC
rnacentral:rRNA from 1 species